GUGGGGAAUAUUGGGCAAUGGGCGCAAGCCUGACCCAGCAACGCCGCGUGAAGGAAGAAGGCUUUCGGGUUGUAAACUUCUUUUAUUGGGGACGAAUAGAUGACGGUACCCAUUGAAUAAGCUCCGGCUAACUACGUGCCAGCAGCCGCGGUAAUACGUAGGGAGCAAGCGUUAUCCGGAUUUACUGGGUGUAAAGGGCGUGUAGGCGGGAGUGCAAGUCAGAUGUGAAAACUAUGGGCUCAACCCAUAGCCUGCAUUUGAAACUGUACUUCUUGAGUACUGGAGAGGCAGGCGGAAUUCCGUGUGUAGCGGUGAAAUGCGUAGAUAUACGGAGGAACACCAGUGGCGAAGGCGGCCUGCUGGACAGCAACUGACGCUGAGGCGCGAAAGCGUGGGGAGCAAACAGGAUUAGAAACCCUAGUAGUCCC
rnacentral:rRNA from 1 species